AUUGAACGCUGGCGGCAGGCCUAACACAUGCAAGUCGAACGGUAACAGGAAGCAGCUUGCUGCUUUGCUGACGAGUGGCGGACGGGUGAGUAAUGUCUGGGAAACUGCCCGAUGGAGGGGGAUAACUACUGGAAACGGUAGCUAAUACCGCAUAACGUCGCAAGACCAAAGAGGGGGACCUUAGGGCCUCUUGCCAUCGGAUGUGCCCAGAUGGGAUUAGCUAGUUGGGGGGGUAACGGCUCACCUCGGCGACGAUCCCUAGCUGGUCUGAGAGGGUGACCAGCAACAAUGGAACUGAGACACGGUCCAGACUCCUACGGGGGGCAGCAGUGGGGAAUAUUGCACAAUGGGCGCAAGCCUGAUCCAGCCAUGCCGCGGGAGUGAGGAAGGUCUUAGGGUUGUAAAGCCCUUUUAUUGGGAAAGAAAAGCAGCAGGUGAAUACCCCGCUGUUCUGACGGUACCCAAAGAGUAAGCACCGGCUAACUUCGUG
rnacentral:rRNA from 1 species